UAAUCUUCUUUUCAAGUUUUAUUUUUAGUAGUAAUCCAAGGUAUGAUUUUUCUUUCAAAAAUUCUGAAAGUUGUCUUCUUCAUGUUAAAGUUGUUCUUCAAGACCGUAUGAACAUGUUCCUCUUCAAAUUCAUUUUUUUUUCUUUGAGUUUUUUCUGGAUUCACACUGUAAUAGUAACCAAUAUCCAUAAAAAUGCCUACAUCAAUUUGCUAAAUUUUCUUAGGAUCUUGGCUUCUUUUUCCCAAUUACUUUGUAGUUUUAUUCUCAAAUAUAAUGAAGGGUGUGAAUUUGAUGAAAAUAUUUUGCGAAAUAAUAAAUGAACACACAUUUUCAUAAUCUUGGAGGUAAAAUGUAGUUAGAGGCUUAGAGCAGAGGGAUUAUUUCGAGUUCCAGGGAAGGUGAGUAGGCAGGCUUGUUUCAUAUAAAAAUCUCACCUGCACCAGUCAAAUCUUAUAUAAGGGCCUCUUUCAUCAAAAUCCUUUUCUAAAAAUCCUCAUUACCCUUCAGCAAAUUGGAGGUAUGUUUUUCUUUCAAAUAUCUAUAUGUUUGUUUUCCUUAAAAUCUUACAACAUGUCUAUAUUUGGUGAAUUUUCUCUGGUUUAUCAGCAUGCAAGUCUUCAAUUUCCUCUUCUACUCCAUUUAUAAAAAAUAAAAACAAAAAGAUUUCUGUUUCGCACUGUAUUAUAAACGAAUAUCCAUAAAAAUUACCCAAUUUUCUUUGUACCUAGAUUUUUAAUUUUCAUUUCUUUUGGAUCAAUGUUUAUUCUUUUUACUUUUUUAAAAAAUAGUUUGUUACCAAGUAUCAAUGGAGUCUGUGCAUUUGAUGAAAAUAUUCAUCAAUAGUAAUAAAUACUAAUUGCAAAAUUGAUAUUGAGGAUGAGAAGUGUAAGAGUUAAAAAUAAAUUAAAACGUUGUUAAGGGAUACUCAGAUCUAGAAUAAUCUUUUAAGGGUAUAAUUGUCAAUUGGUACAAUAUUUAAUUUAAUGGUACUUAUUCACAAAUUUCUCUCCACGUGGAGAAAUUUCAAAUACAAAUACAAAAAUAUAUAUAUCUCUCGAGAAAUUUCUACUUAUGCUUGAAAUAAACAAUUAGGUUUCACCUACUCCCAAAAACUUCUUCUUCCGGCGGUUCAUCUUCUGGUUUACCAUAUUGUUGAUUCUAACUUCGUCUGUUCUUCAGGUUCUUUCAAUUUCAGGUAACUUUUUUUUAUUCUUGUCUUAAGCUUGUUUGAUUUUCAUUAAAAACUUGUGGAGAUGUUGACAUGGUAUUAUUGACAAUAGUAGGAUCUGGAACAAAUUCUAUGAGUUUUUCCGGUUUCCUUUAUAUUUUUUUUCUGUUCAACUGACUGAUUAACAUCAUUCCAUGGCUUAACAAAAAGUAGCGCUCAUUAUAUGAAUCUCAUUAUUUUAAUCUAUGUGUUUGUAAUUACACACCUCACUUAUUUAAUAUUGAAACAUAGUUGUUAUUGGUUUGUUUAUGAACUUGAAUCAACUGAGUAUAUAUUUCGAUAGCCUCUACUCGCUUAUACUAUUAUAAAGACUUGGAUAAUUAGCUACUUUACUGAUUGUGUUGUUGCACGAAAAUACUUGAACAAGGGUGCUUGAAAGUAUAUGAAAUUGAUUCUAUUUUUUAAUCUAUAUUGAAAUCUGUACUUGUAUUUAAGAUGAGCAUUGUGUUUUGCGAUAUUUAAGUGCUACAACAUUGAUGAGUUGCAAAUAUAUUUAUUUUGUUCUCAUGGUUAUAGUUGGAAAUAGUUCAUCUUGAUCUUUUGUUCAGUUGAUCGUUUUGUAUUCUUCUAUUCAGCUUGUGUGUUUUUAGCUCUCUUUUGUUUAACAAUGGUUGUUUGAUUAUUCCAGAUUAUGUUCGUAUAACUCUUAUGAAAAAUGAAAAAUAAAUACUUCAUCUUACAAGGAAUUCUUCCUAUUAAAAUAAAACCUCACUUGUCAUGUAAAAGAUAAUGGAUCACUGUAACAGAAACUCCACGUUCUCGAAUUAGUGAAUGCACAACUCGGAAUCAUGACAGACACCCUAGACAUUCUCAUAUUCUACAAGUUUACUGUAAUAUAUAAACUACACCAUUCAACCAUAGUAAUGGUUAUGCAGAGUUAGUAAAAUUAAUAAUACAAUGUAGAAAGUCAACUUCUCCAGAUUCUCCCUACUUUCAGGACUACAAUAGAAUUCUAUAAUGGUAUUUAAUAUUUUAGUCCUUGUGAUAGUAAAUUGCUGAACUUUUUUUCAAAUGUGAUGUUCUGUUUCAAAUUUAGACUCGGUUGAGAUGUAGUUCAACAAAAAGCAAGAAAACCCAAAAAUGUAAUGCACAAUUUAUCUGUAGGACAGUUAUGAAGCGGACUUAAGCUACCACUAACUUCUCUUUUGUCAAUAUGAUUUCAAAAGAAGUUCUACUAUGUAGAAAAAAAUUGUGAAAUUUGAAGACUUUUAAGUAGUGGAGUUGCGGUGUCCAGUUCCGGUGUCUUAUAAGUUACUACCUCCACUCUUGAUAAAUAGUAUUAUUAUCCAUGGUUUCUGCUCCUUCACAGUGUCGCACAGAUGCACAAACUCCGUAGUUUGAUAAUUUUUUAAUGAAGAAUUGUAGGGAGCAGGAAGCCUGCCAACCAAUCACUGUUUUUUUUGUCCUAGCUGAGUUUUCCAACGACCAACAUCAACAUCACAUGAUCUUGUGGCAUUCUUAAUGCGGCACUUCACAGUAUGGCAAAGAGAGAAGCUUAUGAUAUUACUUAAGAGAAGGGGCGUAGCAGUUCUUCUUUCAAGCUCAAAAUAGGCCGUCUAUUGCUAUAUCUCCUUCCUGAUCCCCCCGGAAUCACGAAGGGAGUGAGAAGAUAUUCCAAUGGACACCCUUUCGAGAAAAAGAAAGCUAUUCAAUCUCUUAGAUUACUCAAUUCCAAGUUAUCUUGAAAAUCCAACAGCAUGCCACUGUUUGAAAUAAUAUAUCACCUUGGUGUUACUGAGUGAGGCAACUAGCAAGGCCUAUAGCUUGUGCCAUGAGAAAAGGUGUCAACAUGCAUCCCAGCCUCCAACGAACCCUUGCUCAAACAGCUAAGACUCACAAAACAGAGGAAAAGGAAGUCAUAGAGACGGUUGCUCAGCAUCUCGUUAUCCAUACGAUAGCACUCAGUGCACUGGUCUACUAUAUUACAUCAAAUGAUCAAGAAACUGAACGAAAGCAGAAGCAGUUGGAUGAGCUGAAACAAGAAGGCAAGAACUGGACCAAAAGUUAUUAGAGUACCAGAAUAGGAUACGACUUUUGUAUGAAUAAAUCUCUCAGUAUAGACUCUUCUCAUUCUUCUCUUCUAUUGCAAUUGGGACCAAAUUGAUUUCUGGGUAGAAUUUAAAGUUUCUUUUUUGGAAAAUUCCUGUAACGCCUAUUUAGUACUUUCUUUUUUGUUCCAUUGAAAUUGCAUGUUUUAAUAUGGUAAUUCUUUGUUAAAUAGA